GCCAGGGAAUUACGAGCCCAAGCUUAAAACCCAAAGGACUUGACGGUUUUCCAUCCCCCUAGAGGAGCCUGUUUUAUAAUCGAUUCCCCCCGAUCAACCUCACCACCUCUUGAUAUUUAUCAGCCUGUAUACCUCCGUCGCAAGCUUACCUUGUGAGCGCAUACUUAGUGAACUUAAAGAUUCUUACAUCUAUACGUCAGGUCAAGGUGCAGCCCACGAUGUGGAAAGAAAUGGGCUACAAUUUCUACCUUAGAAUAAACGAAAAACUAUAUGAAACACACUUUAAAGGCGGAUUUAGUAGUAAAAGGAAAAUAGAGAGUUCCUUUUAACUGGGCACUGGAAUGCGUACACACCGCCCGUCACCCUCUUCAGAUAAUAAUACAACGUAACUGACACUACAAAUUUUCAUAGAAGAGGUAAGUCGUAACAUGGUAAGUGUACUGGAAAGUGCACUUGGACCAACAAAAUGUAACUUAACAAAAGUAUCUUGCUUACACCAAGAAUAUGUCUGUAAAACCCAAACCAUUUUGAGCUUAAAAUAUAGCCCCAUAUUAUCUAAUGAAAUACAUCAACUAACAAAAAAACCUAAAACAUUUUCUUAACUUAGUAAAGGUGAUUGAAAAGUAUCUAGGAG
rnacentral:rRNA from 1 species